CCUACGGGUGACAGCAGUGAGGAAUAUUGGUCAAUGGGCGCGAGCCUGAACCAGCCAAGUAGCGUGAAGGAUGACUGCCCUACGGGUUGUAAACUUCUUUUAUAAAGGAAUCAAGUGAGGCACGUGUGCCUUUUUGUAUGUACUUUAUGCAUAAGAAUCGGCUAACUCCGUGCCAGCAGCCGCGGUAAUACGGAGGAUCCGAGCGUUAUACGGAUUUAUUGGGUUUAAAGGGAGCGUAGAUGGGUUGUUAAGUCAGUUGUGAAAGUUCGCGGCUCAACCGUAAAAUUGCAAUUGAUACUGGCAGCCUUGAGUACAGUUGAGGUAGGCGGAAUUCGUGGUGUAGCGGUGAAAUGCUUAGAUAUCACGAAGAACUCCGAUUGCGAAGGCAGCUUACUAAACUGCCACUGACAUUGAUGCUCGAAAGUGUGGGUAUCAAACAGGAUUAGAUACCCUGGUAGUC
rnacentral:rRNA from 1 species